rnacentral:tRNA from 1 species
GAACCUGUGAGGGAUCAACAAGACACUGCUAAUUUCUUGAUACCAAAGUUCAACUCUUUGGCAGGCUCG